GAAUGUGAGGGCGAUCUGGCUGUGACAUCUGUCACCCCACAGAUCGCCAGGGUUGAUUCGGCUGAUCUGGCUGGCUAGGCGGGUGUCUCCUUCCUCCCUCACUGCUCCAUGUGCGUCCCUCCCAAAGCUGGGAGCGUGCUCGGUCAAAGAGGACGGCCUUCCUCGAAUAGAGACGGACCUGUCUUCAGUCGAGGGUAUACGAGUAGUUGCGCUCCCCUGCUAGAACCUCCAAACAAGCUCUCAAGAAUCAAAACACAUGAACUUGAAUAUAUAUAUAACCCAGAACUACAACUGUGGGAGAACCACAGUGGUUACU
ensembl:misc_RNA 7SK 7SK RNA